ensembl:lncRNA
CGAGUACUCCGUGGUGCACUAACCGGAAAUGACGAUCACGACUGCCGCCGUGGCUCCUCCCCCGCAAUAAACAUCCCGCUUUGAACGUUGUUUGACCUGGAUCUCCGUGACCCCCGCACAGAAGGAAGACACCUUGCCGUUGGGUUGAUGCAUGACCAAUUCCUUGCAGAAGCCAUGGAGGCUGCGGAGAAUGUCAAUCGGGCAAGAUCUGGAGGGGAUUCACCACGGAGCUCAACCAAACGGAGCGGACGCGGCAAGGCCAGAGGGAGACGUGGAGGCCGUGCGGGCCAUACAGGCCGUGCAGACCGAUGGAGUGGCCUAACUACAGGCAUGGACACUGAGGUGUUGGCACUUCCUUCAGAGGAUUCCUUGCCCUUACCCAGAGCACAGCAAAAUCCUCAAGAGAUGUUUGAACAAAACAUGGAGAGGCUUUCUGCCCUACUGGAUUCAAGCCCCUGUCCUGCUGAGCCUGAGAGAAGCGCAGCAUCAUCGUGGUCUGUUAGGCAGCAGAAAGCCUCUGACCGUUGGGAGGAAGCACGGCCGUACCACCUCAGAUGCCUUUUGGAAUCUGAGGCUGUUGGCAAGCCAUUGUGUUGCUUCUGCCACAAGCCGGCUGUUAUAAGGUGCAGAGAGUGCCUUCCGGAGCAGUGGUUUUGUGGGGCCUGCGACAUGCAUAACCACAGCAAACGGCCACUCCACAACAGGGAGAGCGUGGUGGAUGGCUUCUUUAAAGCCAUUCCCCCAUCCACAUGUAUCUCAAGAGGAGAGACUGGAAUAUAUGCCACACAUGAGCAAGAUCGCAUUUUACCCACAAUGCCAGCACAGCACUGCACCUGCCAGGUCCCUAGCUUCACAGUGGAAGCUGGGAAACCAGUCAUCUUGAUUACCAUCAAUGGGCGUUAUGAUUUGCAUUUGCCACGUUAUGUGUGCCAAACAUGCCUGCAGCAGUGGGCCCCUGAUGUGAGAGACCUAGUCAGGAGUGGAUAUUGGCCAGCUUCUGCAAAUGCUUCCACAAUCUACACGGUGGACCUCCUCAACACCUUUCAGGAGCUGAAGUUGAUCUCACCUGGAUUCUCCAGGCAAGCCCUUGCAAAAAUGCUGGAACAUCGCACACUGUGUGCAGGAAGAGUAAGUGACAUCAGCAAUACUAUUUAUUAUGCUCACCAAUAUUGUCAGCAAUUUUUUUAUUUUUUUUUUGACUAUCUCAAAAAUGUUUUCCAUAUUCUGAUAUACUUUCUAGUCUGGACAGAUCAACGG